GGGUCUGUAGCUCAGGUGGUUAGAGCGCAUGCCUGAUAAGCAUGAGGUCGGUGGUUCGAGUCCACUCAGACCCACCA
rnacentral:tRNA from 1 species